rnacentral:rRNA from 1 species
UGGCGGCCGUAGCGGGGGGGGUCACCACCUGACCCCAUGCCGAACUCAGAAGUGAAACGCCGUAGCGCCGAUGGUAGUGUGGGGUCUCCCCAUGCGAGAGUAGGGAACUGCCAGGCA